CAGCCGCCGCGGUAAAACGUAGGUGGCAAGCGUUGUCCGGAAUUAUUGGGCGUAAAGGGCUCGCAGGCGGUUUCUUAAGUCUGAUGUGAAAGCCCCCGGCUCAACCGGGGAGGGUCAUUGGAAACUGGGAAACUUGAGUACAGAAGAGGAGAGUGGAAUUCCACGUGUAGCGGUGAAAUGCGUAGAGAUGUGGAGGAACACCAGUGGCGAAGGCGACUCUCUGGUCUGUAACUGACGCUGAGGAGCGAAAGCGUGGGGAGCGAACAGGAUUAGAUACCCGGGUAGUCCCUGUCUCUAUACA
rnacentral:rRNA from 1 species